CAGCAGCCGCGGUAAUACGAAGGGUGCAAGCGUUACUCGGAAUUACUGGGCGUAAAGCGUGCGUAGGUGGUGGUUUAAGUCCGUUGUGAAAGCCCUGGGCUCAACCUGGGAAUUGCAGUGGAUACUGGAUCACUAGAGUGUGGUAGAGGAUAGUGGAAUUUCCGGUGUAGCAGUGAAAUGCGUAGAGAUCGGAAGGAACAUCUGUGGCGAAGGCGACUAUCUGGGCCAACACUGACACUGAGGCACGAAAGCGUGGGGAGCAAACAGGAUUAGAGACCCCCGUAGUCCCUGUCUCUUAUAC
rnacentral:rRNA from 1 species